UCAGAUCUUGAGGGGCCUUGAAACCACGCAAGGGGGUUGGCCUUUAAUGCUGCUGGCCAUCAGGAGCCACCAAAAGGUUUUAAGCUGGGAAGAACGCGAUCAGAGUCGCGUUUACGUUGGGUCACUGCAUCCUGGUGUGGAUUUGCGGUGAUUUGAGACCGGCGGACGGUCUCAGUAGGGACGGUGGCCUGGGAUCAGGCAGCUGCAAUAGAAACGGAGUAAAAGGCCUGAGAAGCAAGGGCGAAAAAGAGAGAAGCAUCUUGGAAGACUUCUCACUGUGGAGAUUCCUGAAGAUGGUGUACUGAUGGUUCUGUUGGCCGAACGCCACUAGAAACUCUACUGACUCAGGGUGAAAAGCUCCACAGUAUUCCAGAGGUGACUGAUUGCCCCAUAAGGCUUUCUGACUGUUGGAAUGGUUUUAGAUGGUCAUCCCAGAGAAUGAAGGCAUGGAUGACUCACAUGAAGCACUGGUUAUUAAAGACAAGUACCAACUUACAUUUGAAGUCCAAAGCCAGCAUUUGCUCAUUCUGAGAUGGGACUGGUGACCAUCCAUAAGUGACAUGGCUAUUUGGGAGUACUUUUGGUUGGGACACUGAAGCCAGAGCUCCGGAGAGUGGCUGAAACAGAAUAUCCCCCUGCUAAACAGGCCAGUGAGAAGAAUUCCUCACAAUCAAAUUCUCAUCAACAAGUCUGACAGAAUUUGUGUCUCCUAAACCUACAUUUCCAAGGAGGUCAUAACAAUAUUUAUGGAAUAUGAGGCACAGAAUCUUAAGUUAAAAAAUAUUUUUCCAGGUCUUAUUUACAUUGAACUCAAAUU